UGGGGAAUUUUGGACAAUGGGGGAAACCCUGAUCCAGCCAUCCCGCGUGUGCGAUGAAGGCCUUCGGGUUGUAAAGCACUUUUGGCAGGAAAGAAACGUCAUGGGUUAAUACCCCGUGAAACUGACGGUACCUGCAGAAUAAGCACCGGCUAACUACGUGCCAGCAGCCGCGGUAAUACGUAGGGUGCAAGCGUUAAUCGGAAUUACUGGGCGUAAGGCGUGCGCAGGCGGUUCGGAAAGAAAGAUGUGAAAUCCCAGAGCUCAACUUUGGAACUGCAUUUUUAACUACCGGGCUAGAGUGUGUCAGAGGGAGGUGGAAUUCCUCGUGUAGCAGUGAAAUGCGUAGAUAUGCGGAGGAACACCGAUGGCGAAGGCAGCCUCCUGGGAUAACACUGACGCUCAUGCACGAAAGCGUGGGGAGCAAACAGG
rnacentral:rRNA from 1 species